UUUACCUCUAAAUUUAAUUUUGAAACAAUUUUCAUGUUAUCACUUCUAUUAUUGUUUCUUAAAUCAUCAGCAGAAAUUAAUUUGAAAGGUGUUUGCCAUGGAACUUUUGACACCAAAACUGAGAUAUCCGCUAGAACAGUUAACAUGAAUGGAAUGAAGAAUGUAAUUGUGCUUUCAACGAGAACAAUGAUCUUUGAUGAGCUGAAUAUGUGUUUUGUAGAGUUAAUUGAAAAACUUAAGAAUCACCUGCUGAAGUACGGAUCCUCUGCACAAUACGUGCC
ensembl:ncRNA ZK863.12 ncRNA